UAAGGAAUAUUGGACAAUGGGCGAAAGCCUGAUCCAGCCAUGCCGCGUGAAGGACGAAGGCGCUCAGCGUUGUAAACUUCUUUUGGAUGGGAACAAUAACUCCGACUUGUCGGAGCUUGAGGGUACCAUCAGAAUAAGCACCGGCUAACUCCGUGCCAGCAGCCGCGGUAAUACGGAGGGUGCAAGCGUUAUCCGGAAUCACUGGGUUUAAAGGGUGCGUAGGCGGCCCAAUAAGUCAGUCGUGAAAUCGCUGGGCUCAACCCAUGCAAUUGCGAUUGAUACUGUUGGACUUGAAUUAGGUUGAGGCUGGCGGAAUGCGACAUGUAGCGGUGAAAUGCUUAGAUAUGUCGCAGAACACCGAUUGCGAAGGCAGCCAGCUGGGCCUCGAUUGACGCUGAGGCACGAAAGCGUGGGGAGCAAACAGGAUUAGAUACCCCCGUAGUCCCUGAGCGGGCUGGCAAGGCGCAU
rnacentral:rRNA from 1 species